UAAAAGUUGUAAGGAAAAAUCAAUUUCCCAACACCUGGAGUCAGUGGAGCUCAUGAGAUGUAUUUCCCUCUUUUUGGGGAAGAAAGCCACUGGUUCCAUAGGGAGCCAUUCAGGUUGUAGUCUGUGAUACUGGGAAGAGUGGAUCCCUCUUCUUGGCUACCUUGCUAAACUCCUGGAUCACUUUAGGACAAUUAUACUUCUUAUGCCAUCUAGAGAGGUCAUCAAAUGAAGUGGGAAGAGAAAAGUUAACUAUCCUCCCAGACAUCCUUGAGAUUACUCAAGUGAUCAUGCUGAAACAAUGGCUGAUAAUGACACCAACGUAAGCAGAAAGGUCAUUCCUGGGUUACAAGGGAUUGUGAAGCAGGAAAUUAGAAUUCAUCUUCAGCCCCACCAUCAACUCCUGUGCUUCUGGGUCCCUGAGCAAGCUCUCUCCAGCCUCUGCUCUCAGUUAUUCCAUCUGGGAAAUGGGAAUAAAAAACUCCCACUUGAAAACAUGAAGAUAGAUUAGAGAUGAUAUUUUGAAGGCUCUGUUUAUGAGAUGAUCCAUCAGGUUGUCUCAGAGUCUCCAUCCAGCCCUUCAGCAACCGGAGGCGUUCCAGAUGUCUAAAAUAUCAAGUGGUGGAGAUAGAAAGCAAAGGAGGAUAAGUUUCUUCAAACCUUUGACCCAACAAUGUUGUGCAGAAACCAGAGAAAACCACAGGCUAUCAGACUUCACAGAGCUGAUGGGAGUUCAGCAUUGUGACCCUGUUGAAUGGUCAUCUGUGAAACGCACAAAAAUCAGCCAUACCGGAUGACUCUAAUUUCCAGAGUGUAUUGGAAAAGUUAUUCUGAGGACUCGCUCAGGCAGUCUCCUUCUAUUGAAAUGGAAUAAUACCCUUCCUGCUAUAUUUACUUGGAGAAGCCUUCCAAACCCCAUGGUCCAGCUCAGACCAUCUCUUUUUGGACAUCCCUCCUGAACAUUCAGUGGAAUGUCAUCUUUCCUUUCUUUGCUUUACUAUAUGAAGAGACUUCAAGACUUUGAAAAGGAAGAUCACAGUUGGAGGAUUAAAAGUAUUUGAUUUAGGGAUCCCUGGGUGGCGCAGCGGUUUGGCGCCUGCCUUUGGCCCAGGGCGCGAUCCUGGAGACCCCGGAUCGAGUCCCACGUCGGGCUCCUGGUGCAUGGAGCCUGCUUCUCCUUCUACCUGUGUCUCUGCCUCUCUCUCUCUCUCUCUCUCUCUCUCUCUCUCUCUCUCUCUGUGACUAUCAUAAAAAAAAAGUAUUUGAUUUAAAGAUUUACUAUAAAAUUACAGUAAUGGUGUCAGUCAGGGUUCUCUUGAGAAACAUAUUGCUGUAUAUUAAUGAGGUUCAAAGAGACAUACCUGUACCUAUACAGAAUUAUAUGGAAGAGGACUGAUUAAUUUUACAUGUAUACAUGUAAUUUGUAAUUUUUAUAUUUGUGAAUUUAUUAUUUUUGUAAUUUAUAAUUAAUACAUAUAAUUUUUUAAGGAAUUGCCUCACAGGAUUAUAAGGGCUAGCAAGUAUGAAAUGGUAGGGAAGGCUGGCAACUCAGGCAAGAGUUAAUGUUGAGUCUUGAGGCAGAAUUUCUACUCCAGAAAAUGUGAGUUUGGGAUCUUUAGAGCUUUCAAGUGAUUGGAUGAGACCCAUCCACAUUAUUGUGGGUGAUCUCCUUCACUUAAAGCCCACUUAUGGUAGCUAUUAACCACAUCUACAAAAUACUUUCCCCCCAAAAUAAUUUAAAACAAAUACCUUUGCAGCAACACCUAGAUUAGGGUUUGAGUAUAUAACUGAGUACUACCAAAGCCUAGCCAAACUGGCACAUAAAACUAGCCAUCAUUCAUGAUCAAGACAAUGUGAUAUUGACAUAAAGACAAACAAAUGAAUUAAUGGAAUAGAAUAGAGUCUGGAAACAGAAGUACACACAAAUGGACAACUGAUUUCAACCAAAGUGCAUAGUACACAGUGGUGAAAAAUAGUCUUUUAUGCAGUAGGUGAAUUGGCUAUCCAUAUGCAAAAAGUCGACUUUGAUCCCUCCCUGUCACCAGAAACAAAAAUAAAGUCAAAGUGGAUCACAAGCCUAAAUGUAAAUCUUUUUACCAUAAAAUUUCUGGAAGAAAUCAUAGGAGAAAAACUUUAUUACCUUGGGUUAGGUAAACAUUUCUGAAAUAAAAAUACCAAAAGAACUAUCCAUAAAAGAACACAUUGGUAAAUUGGACUUGAUCAAAAUUUUAAAAGAUGCAGUUAAGAGAAAGAAAGAAUAAGCCACAGACCAUGAGUAAAUAUUUGCAAAGCACACAUCUAAUAAAUGACUUGUAUCCAGUAUUUACAAAGAAGUCUCAAAAUUCAACAAUAAGAAAACAAAGAACACAAUUUAAAAAUGGGCCAAAGAUGUUAACAUAUAUUUUCAAAGAAGAUAUUGAGAUAGCAGGUAAGCACAUGAAAAGACACUUAACAUUGUUUGUCCCUAAGGACUAACAAUUAAGUUAAAUUAAAACCACAAUGAGAUAUUACUACAUACCUAUUAGAUUGGCUGAAAUAAAAGACUGAUCAUAUGUAGUGUUGGCAAGGAUGGUGAAGAACUGGAACUCUCCUAUUUCUGGUGGGAUGUAAUAUGGUCCAACCUGUAAGGAGGACAACUUGGGAGUUUUAUAAAAUGCGAAGCAUAUGCCUACCAUGUGACACAAACAUUCCACUCCUACAUACUGACCCAGAAGAUAUGAAGACAUUCGUCUAUAUAAGGGUUGUACGUCUAUGUUCAUAGUCGCUUCAUUUGUAAUAGUCCCAAACCAAAAACAACCCAAAUAUUCAUCAACAGGUGAAUUGGUAAAUGAACUGUGGUAUAUCCAUAGAAUGGAAUGCUAUUUGGGACACCUGGGUGGCUCAGC